UAUAUAUUCAAAGGAAAUGUAUUUCACUCGCAUUUGGUGGAGCUUUAGCCAGCUCUAGGAGAAGAGACACUUAGUGGUUUGAUCCCCACUAACGGAUGUACUUGGAUGGUUGGUCCGUCUAUCCGGCUUGGAAUUCCUGUAGUGUAGGCUAGGACCUACUCAGAUAUACGUUUGUUCUUUAAUGCUUUAGAGAUGGGUCCGCC